GGGUUGUGAGGUUAAGCGACUAAGCGUACACGGUGGAUGCCCUGGCAGUCAGAGGCGAUGAAGGGCGUGCUAAUCUGCGAUAAGCGCCGGUAAGGUGAUAUGAACCGUUAUAACCGGCGAUACCCGAAUGGGGAAACCCAGUGUGACUCGUCACACUAUCAUUAACUGAAUCCAUAGGUUAAUGAGGCGAACCGGGGGAACUGAAACAUCUAAGUACCCCGAGGAAAAGAAAUCAACCGAGAUUCCCCCAGUAGCGGCGAGCGAACGGGGAGGAGCCCAGAGCCUGAAUCAGCAUGUGUGUUAGUGGAAGCGUCUGGAAAGGCGCGCGAUACAGGGUGACAGCCCCGUACACAAAAGCGCAUGUGCUGUGAGCUCGAUGAGUAGGGCGGGACACGUGGUAUCCUGUCUGAAUAUGGGGGGACCAUCCUCCAAGGCUAAAUACUCCUGACUGACCGAUAGUGAACCAGUACCGUGAGGGAAAGGCGAAAAGAACCCCGGCGAGGGGAGUGAAAAAGAACCUGAAACCGUGUACGUACAAGCAGUGGGAGCACCCUUUGGGUGUGACUGCGUACCUUUUGUAUAAUGGGUCAGCGACUUAUAUUCUGUAGCAAGGUUAACCGAAUAGGGGAGCCGGAGGGAAACCGAGUCUUAAUUGGGCGUUAAGUUGCAGGGUAUAGACCCGAAACCCGGUGAUCUAGCCAUGGGCAGGUUGAAGGUUGGGUAACACUAACUGGAGGACCGAACCGACUAAUGUUGAAAAAUUAGCGGAUGACCUGUGGCUGGGGGUGAAAGGCCAAUCAAACCGGGAGAUAGCUGGUUCUCCCCGAAAGCUAUUUAGGUAGCGCCUCGUGAAUUCAUCUCCGGGGGUAGAGCACUGUUUCGGCUAGGGGGCCAUCCCGGCUUACCAACCCGAUGCAAACUGCGAAUACCGGAGAAUGUUAUCACGGGAGACACACGGCGGGUGCUAACGUCCGUCGUGAAGAGGGAAACAACCCAGACCGCCAGCUAAGGUCCCAAAGUCAUGGUUAAGUGGGAAACGAUGUGGGAAGGCCCAGACAGCCAGGAUGUUGGCUUAGAAGCAGCCAUCAUUUAAAGAAAGCGUAAUAGCUCACUGGUCGAGUCGGCCUGCGCGGAAGAUGUAACGGGGCUAAACCAUGCACCGAAGCUGCGGCAGCGACACUGUGUGUUGUUGGGUAGGGGAGCGUUCUGUAAGCCUGUGAAGGUGUGUCGUGAGGC
rnacentral:rRNA from 2 species